rnacentral:rRNA from 1 species
GGCGAACGGGUGAGGAACACGUGAAGAAUCUGCCCUCCACUUUGGGAUAACACCGGGAAACCGGUGCUAAUACCGAAUAUUGAAACAUAAGUGGCAUCACUGAGUUUUGAAAGAAUUUCGGUGGAGGAUGACUUCGCGGCCUAUCAGCUAGUUGGUGAGGUAAUGGCUCACCAAGGCAACGACGGGUAGCCGGCCUGAGAGGGCGACCGGCCACACUGGGACUGAGACACGGCCCAGACUCCUACGGGAGGCAGCGGUGGGGAAUAUUGGGCAAUGGAGGAAACUCUGACCCAGCGACGCCGCGUGCGGGAUGAAGGCCUUCGGGUUGUAAACCGCUUUCAGUAGGGAAGAAGCGAAAGUGACGGUACCUACAAAAGAAGCACCGGCUAACUAUGUGCCAGCAGCCGCGGUAAUACAUAGGGUGCAAGCGUUGUCCGGAAUUAUUGGGCGUAAAGAGCUCGUAGGUCGUUUGUUACGUCGGAUGUGAAAACCUGAGGCUCAACCUCAGGCCUGCAUUCGAUACGGGCAAACUAGAGUUUGGUAGGGGAGACUGGAAUUCCUGGUGUAGCGGUGGAAUGCGCAGAUAUCAGGAGGAACACCAAUGGCGAAGGCAGGUCUCUGGGCCAAUACUGACACUGAGGAGCGAAAGUCUGGGGAGCGAACAGGAUUAGAUACCCUGGUAGUCCAGACCGUAAACGGUGGGCACUAGUUGUGGGAACCUUCCACGGUUUCUGCGACGCAGCUAACGCAUUAAGUGCCCCGCCUGGGGAGUACGAUCGCAAGAUUAAAACUCAAAGGAAUUGACGGGGCCCCGCACAAGCAGCGGAGCAUGCGG